CAAUAAAUACACGAUUGAGAUGAUGUAUACAUGUAUUGACUCAGAAUUUGCGUCUGAAUAGCCAAUAACCAAUAAAUUACUGAGAAGUUUUCUAAUUAUUUACAUGAAUUAUUAGAACUGACAUUCAUUUGUUUUUUUGUUUUUUCAGUAAUUUUGCAAAACAUGGAUCAACACACAACAGAGUGUUGCAUGCAACACACAUGUAUCGUGUGAGACGCCUCUCUUUUCUCUUCCGAGAGCUGUAGAGGCAGACUUUGCAGUGGCGUCUGGUGCUGCUGCCUUGGCCAGUUGUCUGUGGCACUUCAGUGGGGAAAUGCCUUGCUGUUAACCGCAGAGGAGUGUCCAAAGCAGGACGGCCCCCUUUGGGUGGACACCGGGUUGUGCCAUACUCCUCCAGUAGCCCUCUCAUCAGGCUUGUCCUGAACUCCAGGGAAGUGAUGACCUGUCCCUGUGGCUGACAUCAUGGAGGACUAUACUGUGUACCACAGGCCCCUGUGCCGUGAGAGAGGAGGUGCUGGAACAGCGAUGGACUGCUGUACCAGUUGUCCUCAUAGAUGGUAUUGCCCUUUCCAAGAUACGGAUCAAGCAAGGUUGUUACAACUGAACCAGAAAUGCCUAACCCCUCAAUGUGGCGGAUGUCGGUAGUGGAUCCGGUAUAAAUGACCAUGUAUUGCACAUAGCCUGUCAGCACGUUGCACAAAACGAAAAACUUCACCCCAAAUCUAUUUCUUUUCGCAGGGAUGAACUGACGGAAGGCCAGCCUGCCUUUCCAUUUCAUCAGUGAUUCAUCCACACAAAGUUCUUGUUAUGGGACAAAAACACGACAAAAAGUGGAUGUAACAGCAGUAAAUAUGCUCUUUAUUUUGCGCAGUGGAUUAUAGUGACUAGCUGUCGCACUGUUGGUGAAGUGCAGGCAACGGAGGAGGAGGAAGCGGUCCUGCGAAAACAGUGACCCAUAAAAAUGGUGUCUGCAGCAACGGGGCGGUACUCCAGUAAUCCAGAAGAGAUGGUUUUCUGAUAACUCCCAUCAGAAGAACUGCCACCAGAAAAGAGUACAUUUCUUUGAUAGUAGUUGCCACCCACCUUGCCCUCUUUCCCUGCACUCCUGGUGCCGUCUUAUGCUGGAGUUCUGCAGCAUACCGUUUUGGCAGAGAGAUCAACAUCGUCACCCUUUUCAAGGGCCAGGAGGAUGUGUGGGGUAGUUCAUGGCGCAGGUGCAGCCAUGUUUGUUUAUAUUGCCAUGUAGUGCGGGUGUUGCGCUCCAAGCGGAAUAACUUUUGUAAUGGUGGCAGUAUCAACAAGAUCAUAAGCAGGAAGGUAAGUUUUCACAUGCUUACAGUAAAAUGCAGUGUGGGUGUCACAUAAGGUCAGAGGAACUAUGCCUAUAAUAAAUUAGUCAUCACGGCUGCAUAAAAUCAUGUCAAAAAUCGUUGAUUGCAACAAAUACAGAUGAAUGAAUGCAUCAUUAUGUGGUUGAAAACACUGCAUAUUUGUGAUAUAAACAGCGCUGCGUGCGUCUGUCUCUGGGAAACAAGCACAUUUGAAUUUGGCAGUUGAUCAUGCGCUGAAUGUUCUAAUCACACCGGUGUGAUCGUACGUGUCAAAAGAUCUUAGAUUUUUUUUACAAUUUUUUUUUUUUUUUUAAGCUGCAGAUUCAGUAUAUGUAGACCUCAAUCUGUUUAAAUAUCACAAAAUAGCCAUGUCAGUCACCUUGUGUUUCACUGAAAACAGGCAAAACUGAAUGGAGACCAGUUACAUUUCUCAAAUUUAAUACAGAUUCAGGAAUAUGAAUGAUUACCUGAUUAAAGAGUAAUGAGGGAGCAGGAGAUAAGGCACAGGAUAGCAUCAAGUCCCAGUUUAGAUGAUAAUCCUAUCGACUACAACUCAAUGUAUAAUCAAUGUCACAUUUAUGUCACAAGUGGGUGCUUCUUUUCUUUUUUAUACUCCAUCCUCAUCUAUUAAAGGAAAGAAGGUGCUCUGCAAGCAUUAAUAGAUGCAAUACAUGGGCUAAAAGUAAAGUAUUAUAUUCUUGCUCAUGUUAAUGUCACUUGCACUUCAAGAAAUGUUGUUGGAACUUUAAUCAUAAAACUCCUAACAAAUAUUACUAAAGCAAGAUGCAUGCUCUUUCAAAUGCAAGUAACAAGCACAAAAAUAAACAAACAAACAAAAGAACAUAGAAAUAAUAAGGAAAGAUGCACCAUUGUUUGAAACCCAGAGAAGUCACGUUCUUGGUAUGUCACUAACUCUGUUAGCUGGAAUUGAUUGAUGAUGAUUUGGCAUGCAUGAUCUUGGAUUGUUUGGUUCUUCAACACUCAUCCAGGGGCCUGUACCGUGAUGGUAGUUGAACAAACUCAGGGUCAGUUUUGAGUUGACAAACCAAACCACUCCAAUCUGGCUUUGUUAGUACCAUGAUGCUGAUCAUCAACUUUCUCUGUCAACUCAGGCUUUGAUCCCGAGUUUGUGGAGCAUGUCACAUGAAUGCAUGA